ACCACCCCAAUUUCUUUAAAAUGCAUGAACCUUCAUAGCCUGUGGAAUCAGUGCACAAUGCGCAGGAAACUCUGCUUGACCACAGUUGCCAGGAGCCCUAGACAAGCGGCAACAGUGAGAUCCCAGCCGGCCAAAAGAAACUGAGUUAAUAUGGGGUGCUAUCAUGCCAUUCUGGAAUGGUGCCAGACUGGAUCAACAGAUGGCUUCACGGAAAUAAACAAACAAGAGUCAACAGACGGCUGCUAGAAGAAUCCCAUUUGAUGCUGGAUAUUUAUUAGUCACAUGGCCAUUGAUCAGGAUGCGGUCAUCCACAGGCAGACGGAAGACCUUCUCAACCUGUGCCUCACACCUGACUGCCAUUGUCCUGUAUUACGGGUCCUUGACCUUUAUGUAUGUGCAGCCUGGAGGGCUGGAGGCAGUGGAGCAAGACAAAAUAGUGUCUGUCUUCUACACCAUUGUGAUCCCUAUGCUGAACCCCAUCAUCUACAGUCUGAGGAAUGAGGAGGUGAAAAAAGCUCUGAAGAAAAGACUAAGCAAGAAAAUCUCUUGCCAUCAGUCAAAGCAAUGAACUUUGUUGCCCACUCCUGUACAUUUGUCUGCUCUCACACAAACUAGUAAGGCCACUAUUAAAGCUGAGCCAAAAUUUUUCAGAAGACAUUUUUCUGGGAAAGAUUCUGAGGUUUUUCUUUUUCUCAUUCCCCCAGAAAAGGAAGGUAGCUUUGCAGAAUUUUAUCUGAAGAUGCUCCGCCAUUUAUUUCUGUUUUUGAUGGUGGCUGCCAUCUGUCCUCGCCACAUUGAAUGUCCUGGAAUGGUAGUAGGUUUGAGGCAUUGUAGAUGGGCCAUAAUGGGCUGCAAACACAACUGUUUGCACUGUGGCCACAAUAUUUUGUAAAAUAAAUAUGUAGGGAAAGAAGAAAUAAGCUGUGCUGCUGCUACCACUAAUGGUGGGCCCCACCUCUUGGAGAAUUGUUCCUCUCCUUGAACAAGUUCAGUGAAAUGGACCACCCCAAUUUUGCUGUGUACAAAUUGUAGAAUUCAAAUCUGACUGUUUCAAGCGUCAACAUCUUCAGGUUUUUUUUAUUUUGAGUUUGGUUUCAGAGUUUCAGGCUCCUUUGUAAAACCAAACAAAUCCAGUUCUAUACUUGAUGACAGUUAAGGGUGGGGGAAUGUGUACUCCCACCAGAUAUUAUUGAAUGGCAACUCCCAUUAUCACUGGUCAUGGGCCAUGCUGGCUGUGACUGAAGGGAGUUGGAAUCUAACUCCAUUUGAAGGGCCCCCGGGUCCCCAUCUCUGAUGUAACGCAUCAACUUGCCUAGUGUAAUAUUUCUAUACCUUUACAAAUCCUACAAAGUAUUUUGGAGGAAAUUAUUUAGCAAGAUAGAUUUAGUAUACAACUGAAUAUUAUCUGUAUUGUUCUAUCUGAUAUUAAAAUGAUUUAAGGAGCAAAAAGAAUGAACAAAUAAUAAAUGAUAAUGUUUGGAAGCAAACUUUGAGUUAGAAAUUAUUAGAGAAUCUUCCUACACCCCCAAAAUAAUUUCAACUCUAAUGGAAGUGUCUUGAGAUCAGAAUUGUUUGGCUAUUACAUGCUGCUUAGACUUCCUAGCAUCCUAGCAAGUGUUAGGAAGAACAUAGGAAACCAUAAUUUAGUACUGUCAACACAGAUUGGCAGGGUUUCAGUCAGGGGACACAUUAACACCUCAGUUAACGAAGCACAUUAUUUCUUUAACAGAAACUUUGGUACCAGAGGUAGGAGUAAAAAAGGGAUAGGUUCCUGCACCACAACAAAGAGCAGCUCAACAUAUUUCAGCAAACGUUUUCAAAACUAACAAUAUGCACGUUUGAAAUGAAACAACCAGUUGAGGUAAGCCUUGCAUUCAGGGCCAUUCCACAUGACUGUAAUAUCUGCAAUGUUAUAGCUUUCUGUCCUCAUUAAUUCAUCGUUGUCCAUAUGACGUUGCAAACUAGUGCAGAUUUUUGCUUCCACAAAUCCGCAUUAGAGAUACUACUGAAAAACCAAUACUGUAUGUUUUCCUGUACCAAUAAUCAAUUGCAUUAACAUCCGUGGGCUCAGAUAUAAUGCCACAGAAUUUCCUGCAAUACGCGGUCCAUGGGCAUCCCUCCGUCAUAUCCCUCCCACCCAAUAGCAUAUUCUUAAAUUUGUGCAUCCAUGGAAAUUCCAAAAUGCAUGUGAAAAGCCAAUAAAGCAAAAUAGAUGAGUAUAUCCUUUUUAAACAACAUGGAUAGUAAACAAAUAUAUAUAUAUGAACUGUUUACAGUCAUGACCUCUUCCAGGAUACUCCAUUCCAUUCUAAGUCCCCUGCUCCCACCCCAAGAACAGACACUUAGCAUUCUCUAGCUACUGACUAUGCUCAGUCUUCAUUGUGUUGCUUUGGUGUGCCCCCCCCCAUUUUUCCCUAAAGGAAAAGGUUGUUUGUUGUUGCUUGUGUUUUUGUACUACAAACCUUGGGUUUCCACGAAAAGCCUGCCGAUACCUCUCUGUUGUGCAUGGCUGGUGGUGCACAUUAGGUUACUAAUGGUUGAAGAGUUAGGACUGAC